rnacentral:lncRNA from 1 species
GAAGUUGGUAGAGUCUCGGGCCCGCUUAACUGCUGAAAGAGUAGGAAGGGGUCCGUUUCAUUAGCGCGUUCAACCAAAGAGCGCUGUUAGGUGAGCAAAAACAAACCAGUUGUGUCUGAGCCAACACCCGUUUGUCUAUGGGUUGUAGCAGUUGGUCCACCUAAUCAAGGAAGUGCCGAGAGCACAGGACAUGAAAAGACACAGCGCUAAGGUACAUGGCACGUUCACGAAGGUACAGGAGAGGCAAGAAAUGAGACGGGAAAGGUGGCCUAGGACCAGGUCGUGAAUGACAUGAUAACUAAGUUUUGACUUUUUCUCGUAGGUCAGUGGUUCUCAACCAGCGGCAAUUUUGCCUUCCAGGGAACAUUUGUCAAAGUCUAGAGACAUAUUUGGUUGUCUUCACCAAGGGGAGGAGGGAGGGAAGUGCUACUGACAUCCAUGGGUUGAAGCAAAGGAUGCUGCUGAACAUCCUGUAAUGCACAGGACGGCCUCCCCCACCAAGGAAUUACCUGGGCCAAAUAGUAGUACUGAAAUUGAGAAACCCUGCUGUAGGCAGUGAGACACUAGCAACAAUUCUUCUUUUUUUUUUUUUUUUUUUUAAGCUGGAGUCAGGGUCUCGUGCUGUUGCCCAGGCUGGUCUUGAACUCCUGGGCUCAAGCAAUCCUCCCGCCCUGGCCUCCCAAAGUACUGGAAUUACAGAUGUGAGCCAUCAAGCCCAGCCACAGCAGUUCUUAAAAGGAAAAUCACAUAAUCAUAUUUGUGUGUUAGAUAAUUAUAACAACAUAGAGGAUUCAUUGAAGAGAGAGAGGAGAUGAGAAAAACAAUUUCAUCCUUUGUUUAUCAAGGACCUAUUAUGUGUACUUGAUCAUGCAUCAGGCACUACAGAUUCAAAGAUGAAUAAGAGUCCAGCAAGGGAAAUAAUAAGUACCUUUAUGGGACUUGGGGAGACUCAAACUCUGGCCUCGGGUCUUCAUCCCCAUGAACCUCUUAAUUAAAACAAGAGAAGGGCCUGAACUAGAGCAGGGGUUGAGGACAUGGAAAAGAGAACCUACUUGAGAAACAUCUCAGAAAUGAAAUGAACCAGGCUGAGUUUUGGAGUGGAAGUAGAAGUUGAGAGCAGUGAAAACCAAAACUGAGGUCUUUAUCCUGGGCAACUACACAGAUAGUGCUGCUAAUAGGAAAAUGCAGGAGAAGCAACAGACUUAGAGGACUGUCUUGCAGGGUUUUCUUUCUGAGAGAGAGUAAAUAUCAAAUUCCUAUAGGACAGGUACAAGCAACUCACAUAAAAAUUGCCAACAGCCAAAAAA